GAGUCUUCCCUGGGCCUUUAAGGUCCCUGAAGGAACGUUUAAGACUAAGACGUUGAUAGGCUGGGUGUGUAAGUGCAGCGAUGCAUUGAGCUAACCAGUACUAAUGAUCCGUGAGGCUUAACCUUACAACACCGAAGGUGUUU
rnacentral:rRNA from 1 species